rnacentral:rRNA from 1 species
AACACCCGCGGUAAUUCCAGCUCCAAUAGCGUAUAUUAAAGUUGUUGCAGUUAAAAAGCUCGUAGUUGAAUUUCGGGGUUCUACCGUUGGUCGGGCUCUGUCUGUACUGGCGUGUAGAAUUUCUACCUUCUGGGGAACCAUUAUGUUAUUAAUUUAGCGUAGUGGGAAACCAGGACCUUUACCUUGAAAAAAUUAGAGUGUUCAAAGCAGGCUUAUGUCUGAAUACAUUAGCAUGGAAUAAUAGAAUAGGACGGUGGUCCUGUUUUGUUGGUUUCUGAAUCACCGUAAUGAUUAAUAGGGAUAGUUGGGGGCAUUAGUAUUCAAUUGUCAGAGGUGAAAUUCUUGGAUUUAU